rnacentral:rRNA from 1 species
UACGUAGAAGACUAGUGUUAUUCAUCUUUAGUAGGUUUAAAGGGUACCUAGACGGUAUUACUAGCCCAAGAUAGGGUACGGUAUUGCUAGAGUUUUAUAUGAGAAGGGGAGUAUUCAUGGAGUAGAGAUAAAAUUUUUUUUGAUACCAUGAAGACUGGCAGCGGCGAAAGCAACCUUUUAUCUAAUAACUGACGUUUGAGGGACGAAGGCUUGGGUAGCAAACAGG